GCAGUGGAUGCGGUUGCGGUUGCG
rnacentral:siRNA from 1 species